GAUGAACGCUGGCGGCGUGCCUCAUGCAUGCAAGUCGAACGGGGACACUUUGAGUAGCAAUACUUAGGGUGUUCUAGUGGCGAUCGGGUGAGUAACACGUAGGUGACCUACCCCAAAGAGGGGGAGUAACGGUCCGAAAGGACUGCUAAUACCCACUGUUAUUGAUGAUUCAUUUCUAUCAAUUAAAGUUUACCGUCAAGGAGUAUGCUUUGGGUAGGGGCCGUGCGGCGGAUUAGAUAG
rnacentral:rRNA from 1 species